rnacentral:miRNA from 1 species
ACCUUGCUGGUUAGCUCCUUG